UACGGAGGGGGCUAGCGUUGUUCGGAAUUACUGGGCGUAAAGCGCACGUAGGCGGCUUGGUAAGUUGGAGGUGAAAGCCUGGAGCUCAACUCCAGAAUUGCCUUUAAGACUGCCGAGCUAGCAGGUGAGAGAGGUGAGUGGAAUUCCGAGUGUAGAGGUGAAAUUCGUAGAUAUUCGGAAGAACACCAGUGGCGAAGGCGGCUCACUGGAUCAUACUGGACGCUGAGGUGCGAAAGCGUGGGGAGCAAACAGG
rnacentral:rRNA from 1 species